GCGGGAGUGGUGGAAUUGGGAGACACACCAUCUUGAGGGGGUGGCGGUCGUAAGACCAUGCGGGUUCAAAUCCCGCCUUCCGCA
rnacentral:tRNA from 2 species